UGAGGAAUAUUGGUCAAUGGGCGAGAGCCUGAACCAGCCACGUAGCGUGCAGGAUGACGGCCCUAUGGGUUGUAAACUGCUUUUAUAUGGGAAUAAAGUGAGGGACGUGUCCCUUAUUGCAUGUACCAUAGGAAUAAGGACCGGCUAAUUCCGUGCCAGCAGCCGCGGUAAUACGGAAGGUCCAGGCGUUAUCCGGAUUUAUUGGGUUUAAAGGGAGCGUCGGCUGUUUGUUUAGCGUGUUGUGAAAUGUAAGAGCUCAACUUUUAGAUUGCAGCGCGAACUGGCAGACUUGAGUGCGCACAACGUAGGCGGAAUUCAUGGUGUAGCGGUGAAAUGCUUAGAUAUCAUGACGAGCUCCGAUUGCGAAGGCAGCUUACGGGGGCGCAACUGACGCUAAAGCUCGAAGGUGCGGGUAUCGAACAGG
rnacentral:rRNA from 1 species